ACGAUUUUAUAAAGUAUUUUACGGGAAGUGCAUCAAAAUUAAAAAAUAUAUGUGUUUUUUUUUUCAAUUUAAGUUUUAUGAAGCUUUGAACAUGAUCAAUGGCGGUGACGACACUGGAAGAAGCUUUCAACAGAGGAAGUUGUGUAGCGGCGGCGACGAUUUUGCCAAAGCAAUCGCCAAACUCGUUGUGGCACAACUCUGCGAGAUCGAAGGAUUCCAGAGUUUUCAGCACUUAGCACUUGACACAUUAUCCGAUGUUGCGGUUCGUUACAUUUUCAAUACAGGAAAAUCUGCGCAUUACAAUGCUAAUCUUUCAGGAAGAAAUGAAUGCAAUGUGUUUGAUGUGAUUCUAGGGUUGGAAGAUUUGGGAUCAGUUCAAGGCUUUGUGGCUGCUUCUGAUGUUGAUCAUUGCCUUGCAGGUUCCGGAAUUGUUCGGGAGAUUGUUGAUUUUGUUUAUGAAUCUGAACAGAUUCCGUUUGUUUUCACUGUUCCGAAGUUUCCGGUGACGAGAGAAAGGGCGAUGAGUGCUAGUUUCUCGCGAAUUGCGGAAGAUCCUCCCGGGGAGCAUAUUCCGACUUGGUUGCCGGCAUUUCCUGAUCGGAAUGGAAGAGGGAUGGAAGGUAAUGCUGCGAAGGAGGAACAUUCUCUCCUACAUUUGCAGAAGCAUCUUUUGUCCAAUGGAUUUGAAGUAUCUACAUUUGUUGAUCAUGGUGAUGCUAAGGCCAAACGAAUAGCUAUAGAAAGUAAUCCGUUUCUUGCUGCGCCUUUAUGGGAUAAGGAAGUUGCGUCUGUUGUUCCUCCUCCGGUAAAGAUACUCAAUGAUGUGGAUUCAGGGAAUCCUCCUGUUGUGGAAAAUUGUGUUGGAGAUGAAUGUGUUUCUGUAGUGGAGGCAUUUGCUCCGGCAAUUGAAGGGGUAAAAGGUGCACGGUGCGAGUUUAGGGAAGGGAAGAUGACAGAGCUUCAUUUGAAUAAGAAGCAUGCUGUGAGUUUUAAGAUUGGGACGAGAAAUAAAUUGUUGGGAAGGUUGGCGGAUUUGAGUCCGGAAUGAAAGGAGCAGCGGAAAACAAAGAUGAGCUCGUUCAGUUACACCAGACAAUGGAUACAUUAACUAUCUUCAAAGGCCACAAUCAAUGAGUUUAAUAUGGCUAUUGAGCUAUAGUGAAGUUGCCUGCAAUGCCUAGCUGGAUAGUUAGCUACUUCAGCUCUCACAACUUCUGUAAUCAAAUCUUUAAAGAUCAAGCGUUCAAUAUCCAACACAACAUUUGGUAUCUCGG